AACGAACGCUGGCGGCAGGCUUAACACAUGCAAGUCGAGCGCGUAGCAAUACGAGCGGCAGACGGGUGAGUAACGCGUGGGAAUCUACCGUAUCCUACGGAAUAGCUCUGGGAAACUGGAAGUAAUACCGUAUACGCCCUAACGGGGAAAGAUUUAUCGGGGUAUGAUGAGCCCGCGUUGGAUUAGCUAGUUGGUGGGGUAAAGGCCUACCAAGGCGACGAUCCAUAGCUGGUCUGAGAGGAUGAUCAGCCACAUUGGGACUGAGACACGGCCCAAACUCCUACGGGAGGCAGCAGUGGGGAAUAUUGGACAAUGGGCGCAAGCCUGAUCCAGCCAUGCCGCGUGAGUGAUGAGGGUCUUAGGAUUGUAAAGCUCUUUCACCGGAGAAGAUAAUGACGGUAUCCGGAGAAGAAGCCCCGGCUAACUUCGUGCCAGCCGCCGCCGUAAAAC
rnacentral:rRNA from 1 species